UUAAGUUCAGCGGGUAUCCCUACCUGAUCCGAGGCCAAAAUUGUGAAGAUAGCUUCUGGGAGCCAAUACGACGGGCCCGAGUUCGCGUUUCUGCUGCGCUCGAAGCCAAUGUACCGGCCGCCAAUGAUUUUGAGGCGAGUCCGCGUUGAAGCGGACAGUCACCCAACACCAAGCUGAGCUUGAAGGUUUAAAUGACGCUC
rnacentral:misc_RNA from 1 species